UUAGAGGUAAAACAGAGUGUAUAGUGAUAUAUCCAACAAUAUAUUUUUAUUGACAUGUAAAUCACUUGAGCAUGGAUACGAUAAAAUGAGCGUCGUGGUCACCAGCGCCGGAGGGUUUUCGCAAGAAAAUAAUGUGAUGUUUUUGUAUCAUAUAUAUAUGUACAUAUAUAUAUACAUAUAAAGAGAGAAACAGGCGGCGUAGUUCAAGGGUUCCUGAGGGCGUUAAGCCACGACGUUGUAACGAGAAGAAUCCAAGAGAAGAGUCGCCCAGAGCGUCACAUAUUUUAGGGCUUGCAUUUCUCCCCUUCAUUUCUUCUUUUCUCUGGCUUCACUUCGGCACCUCGGGUUUCGUCCACUUGGUGCUGCCUGGAACGUGUCUACCAACCGGGUCGCGGCAGACCCCGGGGCAUUUUUUUCAUCCCGUACCGAUAGAGAUCAAUUCAAAUGAAUUCCACGUAAAGUGUAAUCAUUGUGUGGCAUUUGGCAAAAAGUCGUGGCAUCUCCCGCAAUACUUUUACAUACAUAAGUAUAUAUAUCUACAUAAAAGUAUAUUUACUUGGCUCUUGUCUCUCUCUUAUGGAAUACCUAUCAUCCUUCAAUCGAACUUGCCGUGAGUCCGUGCUUGCUCUGGGCCAUUUCUCUUUCCUUUCUCCCCAGUAUUUUCAUAAUGCAGCCUUGCAAAUAAUUCCGAUUAGAUCACAGAAAAAUAUAAUAUAACCCAGCUUCAAUUGCAAGCCUCCAGGCACUUAUUCUAGAUCAUAACUAAUGAGAACGGAAAUUCUUGAAUACCUAUAAUUUUACAUUGAGACUCGAGGUGCGAUCGUUCUUCCGCAAACCGUUUGCUCCAGCCUCUCUCUUUCACCCUCGAUUCGCUCGACUUGCAUCGCUCGACCCGACCUCCAACUGGGUGUGUGUUUAACCUUUUCCAACUAUAUUCUAUAUAAUACAUAUAUAUACAUAUAAGAGUAAAGUAAAGGGAAAAGAC